UACAGAGGGGGCAAGCGUUGUUCGGAAUUACUGGGCGUAAAGGGCGCGUAGGCGGCCUGCUAAGUCGAACGUGAAAUCCCUGGGCUCAACCCAGGAACUGCGUCCGAUACUGGUUGGCUUGAAUCCGGGAGAGGGAUGUGGAAUUCCAGGUGUAGCGGUGAAAUGCGUGAGAUAUCAGGAGGAACACCGAUGGCGAAGGCAGGUCUCUGGGCAUUAACUGACGCUGAGGAGCGAAAGCAUGGGGAGCGAACAGG
rnacentral:rRNA from 1 species